rnacentral:rRNA from 1 species
GAUGAACGCUAGCGGCAGGCCUAACACAUGCAAGUCGAGGGGUAAUUCCGAUAGCAAUAUUGGAAACGACCGGCGCACGGGUGAGUAUCACGUUUGCAACCUACCUCUGACCGGGAGAUAGCCCGGAGAAAUUCGGAUUAAUAUCCCAUAAUACCAUAGAAAGGCAUCUUUUUAUGGUUAAAGCUCAGGCGGUCAGAGAUGGGCAUGCGUACCAUUAGCUAGUUGGUGAGGUAACGGCCCACCAAGGCUACGAUGGUUAGGGGUCUGAGAGGAUGAUCCCCCACACUGGUACUGAGACACGGACCAGACUCCUACGGGUGGCUG